UAUUUUGCAAGUGCACCAGGCUAUGUAAUUAAGAAACUUGCAGGCUGGGCAUGGCGGCUCACACCUGUAAUCCCAGCACUUUGGGAGGCCGAGGCAUGUGGAUUACCUGAGGGUAGGAGUUCGAGACCAGCCUGACCAAUACAGUCAAACCCCAUCUCUAC